AUUGAACGCUGGCGGCAUGCCUUACACAUGCAAGUCGAACGGCAGCACGGGAGCAAUCCUGGUGGCGAGUGGCGAACGGGUGAGUAAUAUAUCGGAACGUGCCCAGUCGUGGGGGAUAACGUAGCGAAAGCUACGCUAAUACCGCAUACGAUCUAUGGAUGAAAGCGGGGGAUCGCAAGACCUCGCGCGAUUGGAGCGGCCGAUAUCAGAUUAGGUAGUUGGUGAGGUAAAGGCUCACCAAGCCGACGAUCUGUAGCUGGUCUGAGAGGACGACCAGCCACACUGGGACUGAGACACGGCCCAGACUCCUACGGGAGGCAGCAGUGGGGAAUUUUUGGACGAAUGGGCGGCAAGCCUGAUCCAGCAAUGCCGCGUGCAGGAUG
rnacentral:rRNA from 1 species